rnacentral:tRNA from 1 species
GCAUUAAUGGGGUAGUGGUAACCUGGGUCGUUGCCAUAGAGCGUCUAGCUCGACCCGCCGGGGGUUCGAUUCCCCCUUAAUGCA